AUUUAAGCGAGGUCGGAUCCCUGAUCAUAGUGAGUCUAAUAUAAUAAUAUUCCACGCUUUGAAAAGACCAAUUUAAUAUUUGGCUUGGUUCAAUUUUUUUCAGAAACAGAUUACUUUUCAGCAGGGGCGGAUUUUGGAUUUUCAAAAAACUUUCGAGGGUUUUUUCAACCUUUCUUUUUAGGUUGACCAAUUUGAUUUUCCGAGCUCUCCCAACGUAGUAAAAAGACCCUGGUUUGGUCAAAUUUUCUGCGCCCAGGCAAAAUUUUAAAAAACAGGCCGCCAAAAAAAAUGUUCUUCGGCACUUUUUGGAAAUUUUGGCAGGGGGUCGAAUCCCUGAGGGGGGGGGGGCUAAAUCCGCCCCUGCUUUUCAGGCUUUUUCGCUAUUUUAAAAAUUUCUGUGUACACUAAAUUUAGAUUUAGGUCCAUCUUUUGACGAACAGUUCAAUUCAAAUUUUACUAUGAUUGUUAUUAGCAGAUGUUUCGGAGGGUUUUAAAGCUCAAAAUGAGGCUGACUGAACUUAAGUUAUGAAUUAGCUGGGUUGGUAUUUUCGAUGAUUAAAUAGUUAUAUAUCUUCAGUCCUCGGUGCGAAGUCACUUCAUUCUCCUCGAGCAGAUGAGAUGAGAUGAUAUAGAUGAUAGAGUUCUUCUACGUACAAGGCAUCGAUCAUCAUCUCAUCCUGUUGCUUUGCCCCCGCGGAGCGUAGCGACAACAGGCCGCAGCGCUCCCGCGAACAUAACCUCUUAAUUUGAUGUCCACUACAUACUCAAAAUCAAUCCAAUCAUUUCGAUUCAAUUCAACCGGUUCAGUUUGGUUUCUUCGACUUUUUACACGGAAGAUGUUUCUCACUCUCGAAUUUGUACUGUGAGCUGAUGAUGAUGUUCGUGAGGUGAUGUGAUGUAAAAUGACGUAAAGAGUUGAACAAGGACAUUAGUCAUGACGUCAUGAGGCUGUAGUGAUAGUGAUCGGCAGGGGCAAACUCACGUUCAGUCACAUGUAGACGUUCAAAUCGCUAGAUGUUCUUUCAAACGAUGUUCUCGGUCGGAUUUAUGAUGGGACCUGAAAGACUAUUGUCGCAAGGGAGGAAACGUGACCUUCGCCGAGUGCCACAAGGGCGAGGACCGCACCGGAAUCGUGGAGUUUGAGACACGCGACGACAUGAUUAAAGC